GCGGUGUUAAUUUAGUGGUAGAAUAGCGCGUUGCCAACAAUGAGAAUCUACGAUUCUCAAGCUUUCACCUUGCGAAGAUGAGGGCAAGGUAAAAACGCGCAGACCGGGGUUCGAUUCCCCGACACCGCA
rnacentral:tRNA from 1 species